rnacentral:lncRNA from 1 species
CACCAAUUCACCACACACAAAGCUAUCCUCUUUCUCAUACAAUCUCAUAUACACAGUAAAAAUAAUCCUUUAUAUUACACACAAAAUAUACACAAGUACACUCCAUAAAAUUCCAUCUCAAGCUCGCUCUCUCUCUCUCUCUCUCUCUCCGACAUGCUUAUUUUCUAAAAUAAAAAAAUAUAAAAAGAAAAACAAAAGUAAAAAGAUAAACGAACAUCAUUAUGAAUAAAAAAUGAAAUCAUUUCCUUUGUCUCACAAUUACUCUAAAA